CCUACGGGAGGCUGCAGUGGGGAAUAUUGGACAAUGGGGGCAACCCUGAUCCAGCCAUGCCGCGUGUGUGAAGAAGGCCCUCGGGUUGUAAAGCACUUUCAGUGAGGAAGAACGCCUGGUGGUUAAUACCGAUCAGGAAAGACAUCACUCACAGAAGAAGCACCGGCUAACUCCGUGCCAGCAGCCGCGGUAAUACGGAGGGUGCGAGCGUUAAUCGGAAUUACUGGGCGUAAAGCGCGCGUAGGUGGCUUGAUAAGCCGGUUGUGAAAGCCCCGGGCUCAACCUGGGAACGGCAUCCGGAACUGUCAAGCUAGAGUGCAGGAGAGGAAGGUAGAAUUCCCGGUGUAGCGGUGAAAUGCGUAGAGAUCGGGAGGAAUACCAGUGGCGAAGGCGGCCUUCUGGACUGACACUGACACUGAGGUGCGCAUGCGUGGGUAGCAAACAGGAUUAGAUACCCCAGUAGUC
rnacentral:rRNA from 1 species